GAAAUGCGAUAAGUAAUGUGAAUUGCAGAAUUCAGUGAAUCAUCGAAUCUUUGAACGCACAUUGCGCCCUCUGGUAUUCCGGGGGGCAUGCCUGUUCGAGCGUCAUUACAACCCUCAAGCUUUGCUUGGUAUUGGAUAUUGCUGGGUUACCAGCAUGUCUUAAAAUCAGUGGCGGUGCCAUUUGGCUUCAAGCGUAGUAAUUCUUCUCGCUUUGGAGAUCCAGAUGGUUACUUGCCAAUAACCCCCAAUUUUUUCAGGUUGACCUCGGAUCAGGUAGGGAUACCCGCUGAACUUAA
rnacentral:misc_RNA from 1 species